rnacentral:lncRNA from 1 species
GCAGAGAACAUAUACGUCAUCAUCAAUAAGAAACAUGAGAUCACUCGUCGUGCAUGCAUCAAACUUCACCAUGGCCGCUCCACCGCACAUGGCCGGCGGGGGCGGCGUAAUGUACCCAAAGACGUACACACUGCAUUUACAAAUUAGAUCGGAUGGCAUUAAUUCAUUGAAAUGCACCUAAAAACAAUCGGAUGGCAUCCCUAAUUGUUUACCAGAAUUUGUAAUUAAAUUAAAUUCAUACAAACCAUGAACAGAAGAAAAAUCCCCAAAUCUAAAUUUUGGACUAUUUGCAUGUGGCAUAUGGGCAUAGAAGGCAUCCUCCUGUUCAAUUGACCCUAUAAAAAUUAGACGAGAAAUAGUUGCCAACUGUACGAGGAGAUACAACCAUGUCGUGCCACUUACCAGAUCUGUGGUGGUUCUUGGCAUAACCUGAACGAAGGAAUAAGAAGAAGAUCAGUCGGAGUUAAUGAAGCUCCACCAGAAUUGUUGCCGUGAGGAAUUAUGUAUGUAUAUGGUAGUGAGACAAAUCGAACAGGUACCUGGCAUAUGAUUGGUGGGCUUCAAAAGCAGCUAAUUGCAGUUGGAGAACUUGGAGCAGGAUUCACAUCAACGGGAAAAAGAACAAGGCGUCGCUGGAGUGCACCUCCGGUCUUAUUUCACCCAUGGCCACCGUGCCGAAAAGCAACCUGGUUCACGUCAUCACAAUUGGCGAUGAGAAGAUGGACCUUCCGAUCGAACUGUUCUUAGCCGCCGCUGUAGCCGUCCAUCCAUGUGAGCCGCCGCGGCAGCUGGAUGCCAAUGAAACAGGAGGAGAGAUGGAUAAGCGGUCAAAUGGAUAAGGUGG